rnacentral:rRNA from 1 species
CCUACGGGAGGCACCAGUAGGGAAUCCUCGGCAAUGGACGAAAGUCUGACCGAGCAACGCCGCGUGAGUGAAGAAGGUUUUCGGAUCGUAAAACUCUGUUGUUAGAGAAGAACAAGUAGGAGAGUAACUGCUCUUACCUCGACGGUAUCUAACCAGAAAGCCACGGCUAACUACGUGCCAGCAGCCGCGGUAAUACGUAGGUGGCAAGCGUUGUCCGGAUUUAUUGGGCGUAAAGCGAGCGCAGGCGGUCUUUUAAGUCUGAUGUGAAAGCCCUCGGCUCAACCGAGGAAGGUCAUUGGAAACUGGAGGACUUGAGUGCAGAAGAGGAGAGUGGAAUUCCACGUGUAGCGGUGAAAUGCGUAGAGAUGUGGAGGAACACCAGUGGCGAAGGCGACUCUCUGGUCUGUAACUGACGCUGAGGAGCGAAAGCGUGGGGAGCGAACAGGAUUAGAUACCCGGGUAGUC